rnacentral:rRNA from 1 species
AUUGAACGCCGGCGGCAGGCUUAACACAUGCAAGUCGAGCGGAGUGAUGGUGCUUGCACUAUCACUUAGCGGCGGACGGGUGAGUAAUGCUUAGGAAUCUGCCAUUUAGUGGGGGACAACAUUCCGAAAGGAAUGCUAAUACCGCAUACGUCCUACGGGAGAAAGCAGGGGAUCUUCGGACCUUGCGCUGAAUGAUGAGCCUAAGUCGGAUUAGCUAGUUGGUGGGGUAAAGGCCUACCAAGGCGACGAUCUGUAGCGGGUCUGAGAGGAUGAUCCGCCACACUGGGACUGAGACACGGCCCAGACUCCUACGGGAGGCAGCAGUGGGGAAUAUUGGACAAUGGGCGGAAGCCUGAUCCAGCCAUGCCGCGUGUGUGAAGAAGGCCUUUUGGUUGUAAAGCACUUUAAGCGAGGAGGAGGCUACUAGUACUAAUACUACUGGAUAGUGGACGUUACUCGCAGAAUAAGCACCGGCUAACUCUGUGCCAGCCGCCGCGGUAACAC